CAAGGGACUUGAAUAGAAAAUUUGAGUGCCCCGGUGGAAACGCCGGGAGUAGAACCCGUCAAAUUCGGUGAAACCUUUAACCUGGUAAUACCGAGCCAAUCCCACGGAAGUGGGCAGGUGUAGAGACUAGACGGCGGGCACCUAAUGCAACAGCAAUGGUGAAGGUAUAGUCCAGACCACAAACGGCAUG
rnacentral:ncRNA from 1 species